rnacentral:rRNA from 1 species
UACGUAGGGGGCGAGCGUUGUCCGGAUUUAUUGGACGUAAAGAGCUCGUAGGCGGUUCGAUAAGUCGGACGUGAAAUCUCCACGCUCAACGUGGAGGGGCCGUUCGAUACUGUCGUGACUCGAGUCCGGUAGGGGAGUGUGGAAUUCCCGGUGUAGCGGUGAAAUGCGCAGAGAUCGGGAGGAACACCCGUAGCGAAGGCGGCACUCUGGGCCGGUACUGACGCUGAGGAGCGAAAGCGUGGGGAGCAAACAGG